rnacentral:lncRNA from 1 species
UGUUUCUGAUCCUGUUUGCUGAAAAGCACACCCUGUACCGAGUCUGGCAGUCCUUGGGGAGCGAAUAGAGCCUGUGAUUUCAAGAAGCGUUAUCAAUGACUUGCCCACGAUGCUCUCCACCCCCUUAGCGUCUUAAUUUGGCCGCUUCAUUUUCCUCUAGGGAAGCUGGUCCUCGUUUGCAGUUACAAGUAAAAUAUCGUGAGGAUGUUUAUCAUCUUGGAGAACGUUCAGAGUUUAAUUCAACAAAUCCAUGUCCUCUGCCUGGCCCAUAAAAUAGGAAGUUGAAGAAUCAUAGCUCUAGAGGGACUUAAAAGAAGACCAUCACCGAAAAACCCUACUUCCUUGCCUGCCAGGUAGGUAGACAGCUUGACACUGGCUCAGCAUUCUCUGCUCGGGCAUCGAAGUGCUGCGUGCGUCCCUCUUCUUGAUCACUCCAGACUGCCAGUCUGCUUAAA